rnacentral:rRNA from 1 species
CCUACGGGUGGCUGCAGUGAGGAAUAUUGGUCAAUGGUCGUAAGCCUGAACCAGCCAAGUAGCGUGCAGGAUGACGGCCCUAUGGGUUGUAAACUGCUUUUAUACGGGAAUAACGCGCCUUACGUGUGAUGCUUUGCAUGUACCGUAUGAAUAAGGACCGGCUAAUUCCGUGCCAGCAGCCGCGGUAAUACGGAAGGUCCGGGCGUUAUCCGGAUUUAUUGGGUUUAAAGGGAGCGUAGGCCGCAUGUCAAGCGUGCUGUGAAAUGGCGGGGCUCAACCCUGGCAUUGCAGCGCGAACUGGCGUGCUUGAGUGCGCGGAAGGCAGGCGGAAUUCGUGGUGUAGCGGUGAAAUGCUUAGAUAUGACGAAGAACUCCGAUUGCGAAGGCAGCAUGCGGCAGCGGAACUGACGCUGAAGCUCGAAAGCGCGGGUAUCGAACAGGAUUAGAUACCCGGGUAGUC